rnacentral:rRNA from 2 species
GGCGUGCGGUGCUAAUACAUGCAAGUCGAGCGAACUGAUUAGAAGCUUGCUUCUAUGACGUUAGCGGCGGACGGGUGAGUAACACGUGGGCAACCUGCCUGUAAGACUGGGAUAACUUCGGGAAACCGAAGCUAAUACCGGAUAGGAUCUUCUCCUUCAUGGGAGAUGAUUGAAAGAUGGUUUCGGCUAUCACUUACAGAUGGGCCCGCGGUGCAUUAGCUAGUUGGUGAGGUAACGGCUCACCAAGGCAACGAUGCAUAGCCGACCUGAGAGGGUGAUCGGCCACACUGGGACUGAGACACGGCCCAGACUCCUACGGGAGGCAGCAGUAGGGAAUCUUCCGCAAUGGACGAAAGUCUGACGGAGCAACGCCGCGUGAGUGAUGAAGGCUUUCGGGUCGUAAAACUCUGUUGUUAGGGAAGAACAAGUACGAGAGUAACUGCUCGUACCUUGACGGUACCUAACCAGAAAGCCACGGCUAACUACGUGCCAGCAGCCGCGGUAAUACGUAGGUGGCAAGCGUUAUCCGGAAUUAUUGGGCGUAAAGCGCGCGCAGGCGGUUUCUUAAGUCUGAUGUGAAAGCCCACGGCUCAACCGUGGAGGGUCAUUGGAAACUGGGGAACUUGAGUGCAGAAGAGAAAAGCGGAAUUCCACGUGUAGCGGUGAAAUGCGUAGAGAUGUGGAGGAACACCAGUGGCGAAGGCGGCUUUUUGGUCUGUAACUGACGCUGAGGCGCGAAAGCGUGGGGAGCAAACAGGAUUAGAAC